CCAACCAUAGCUCAGUUGGUAGAGCGGAGGACUGUAGUGUUGGCGGAGAUCCUUAGGUCGCUGGUUCGAAUCCGGCUAGUUGGA
rfam:Steinernema glaseri strain NC unplaced genomic scaffold GLAS_6453, whole genome shotgun sequence.